rnacentral:rRNA from 1 species
UUUCCCCUUCGGAAACAACGGUGACAGGUGGUGCAUGGUUGUCGUCAGCUCGUGUCGUGAGAUGUUGGGUUAAGUCCCGCAACGAGCGCAACCCUUGAUCUUAGUUGCCAUCAUUUAGUUGGGCACUCUAAGGUGACUGCCGGUGACAAACCGGAGGAAGGUGGGGAUGACGUCAAAUCAUCAUGCCCCUUAUGACCUGGGCUACACACGUGCUACAAUGGACGAUACAAACGGUUGCCAACUCGCGAGAGGGAGCUAAUCCGAUAAAGUCGUUCUCAGUUCGGAUUGUAGGCUGCAACUCGCCUACAUGAAGCCGGAAUCGCUAGUAAUCGCGGAUCAGCAUGCCGCGGUGAAUACGUUCCCGGGCCUUGUACACACCGCCCGGCACACCACGAGAGUUUGUAACACC